rnacentral:misc_RNA from 1 species
GAUGAAGAACGCAGCGAAAUGCGAUAAGUAAUGUGAAUUGCAGAAUUCAGUGAAUCAUCGAAUCUUUGAACGCACAUUGCGCCCCCUGGUAUUCCGGGGGGCAUGCCUGUCCGAGCGUCAUUACAACCCUCAAGCUCAGCUUGGUGUUGGGCCCCGCCGCCCCGGCGGGCCCUAAAGUCAGUGGCGGUGCCGUCCGGCUCCGAGCGUAGUAAUUCUUCUCGCUCUGGAGGUCCGGUCGUGUGCUCGCCAGCAACCCCCAAUUUUUUAAGGUUGACCUCGGAUCAGGUAGGGAUACCCGCUGAACUUAAGCGUAUCAAUAAGCGGAGGA